rnacentral:rRNA from 1 species
GAUGAACGCUGGCGGCGUGCCUAAUACAUGCAAGUCGAGCGAACAGACGAGGAGCUUGCUCCUCUGACGUUAGCGGCGGACGGGUGAGUAACACGUGGAUAACCUACCUAUAAGACUGGGAUAACUUCGGGAAACCGGAGCUAAUACCGGAUAAUAUAUUGAACCGCAUGGUUCAAUAGUGAAAGACGGUUUUGCUGUCACUUAUAGAUGGAUCCGCGCCGCAUUAGCUAGUUGGUAAGGUAACGGCUUACCAAGGCAACGAUGCGUAGCCGACCUGAGAGGGUGAUCGGCCACACUGGAACUGGGACACGGUCCAGACUCCUACGGGAGGCAGCAGUAGGGAAUCUUCCGCAAUGGGCGAAAGCUUGACGGAGCAACGCCGCGUGAGUGAUGAAGGUCUUCGGAUCGUAAAACUCUGUUAUUAGGGAAGAACAAAUGUGUAAGUAACUAUGCACUUCUUGACGGUACCUAAUCAAAAAGCCACGGCUAACUACGUG